AUUAAAACAGAAGACCUGCUCCACCUGCUGUUCUACUGGUUGUAACAGAUUAUGGAAAAGCGUCUCAUGUUGAAGUUCACCUGUUCCUUGGUCAGACGAUGAAUAUUGAAGAAUUUUAGAACCAUUAGAGAAAACCCAGCGCUGGUUUCUGAUCCCAGAUUCAGUUUCUGCAGAUCAAUAAUGUCCCAGGUUGGAUCUCCUGAACCUGUAAACCUCCACCUCCAACACCACCAGUUUUUUUCAUUGAGUCAAUUCAUAACAGCAGAGCUUUGAUGAGCUUUGUGCUGAUGGAAGGAGGAUCAGGAAUAGAGCAGAGGACCUGCUGACCUACUGGUUCUAGUAGAUUCUAUAAAUGCAUGACUGAAACUAGUCAACAGCACUGGACCAAUGAGGAGAGAGGAGACACAGAGGACUGAGGAGACACAGGAAAUCCUGCUGGAAAUCCAGAGACGUUUCCUGAUCCCAUGACGAUGAGUUGAUCAGAUACGGUGACCAACAGGUGCCAACGUGCAGCAAACAGAUUCAAAGAUGGCCUUUCAACCCUGGAUGUCAUUUAUGCUUUGGAGCUUCGUGCUUCUGUGUUCAGGCCCUUUAUGUGCACAAGUGUGGAAAAGCUGACAUCAGAAAUGUUUGAGGAAAUCUUUGAGGUUCAGCUCAGUGAAAAGGGCAGCACCAGACGACAAGAAGAAACCAGACUGCUAGGAUUCUCCUAGAGACAGACCAAACCUCGCUUUCCUGUUCAAACACUAUCAAAAUACCAAAGCCCAAGACAUACAAUCAGUUCCAAAAGAGACAUGAACUUUGGGAUACAAAACUCUUUGGACUUCAAAUACAGAAUCACAAAACUCAAAUGUGGAUGUUGGCCUGUGAAGGAAGAUGUUAACUUGUGAAACCUGCUCUGUCAAAGUUCUGACUCUGCUGUGUUGUGGUUGUUGGACACACACCUUUGAACUUUAGACUCGUUCAUUUCCGAGUCUUGUGUAGUUUUCCACAUAGGAUUCCCAAGUCAGUGGAUGCACUAGGCCACUGUCUCUGGAGGUCCUCAAACUGUCCCUAAAGACGGUCAUGGCCACAUUGACUGCUGUUUGACUCGGUCAUAAACUGUCCCAAUUCCUCCUGGGAGUCUGGGAACCCACAGUCUGUUCUGCCAAACCGAGGACUAAAAUACACACAGGACGCAUAGAUUAGUUAUAUAUUUACAUUUCUUCAUUCAACUGUCACUACCAACUGUUAUGAGUAUUGUUGAAAACUGUUGUAAUGCUUGAUUGUAUUUAUGUCAUCAGAAAUUGUUACAA